GCCACCUCGAUACAGCAGCGUCGAGACUAUAAUUGAAACCACACCUUUCUGGAAUCAAUUCAUUACACAAGACGGAGCUUAUAACACUUGCGGACCAUGUGACAAAUUGAAUGUAACGCACAACUCACAAAAUUACGCUUAUCUGACCUCAGCCUUAUUGUUUUACUCAAAAUGUAGUGUUUAAAGCCAAGCCAGUACAUUAUGAAAGUAUAACUACCUACUUGUAUAUAUAAUAGGUAUUUUUUGUUCAGAUUAUUGGUCUAUGGAACUAUUUUUUUACGGAUUCCUUGUUAUAAAGUUUGAAGGAAGAUAAGAAAGUAGUUGUCAGUCUGUUUGGUUGUUACAUAUUAAACAGAGAGGUAUUUGAAAAAAGUAGUCUUGAAUUACAGAUAUUCUUGGACAUAUCUUUGGUAAUAUUUUAAAUAAGUAGCUAUAACAAUCUGUUCGCCUAUUAGAAGGCCAUUUGUGCAGAUCAAACCUAGUGUUAAAAUUAAAAUAUAAGCAAAUAAGUACCUAAAUUUCUUUAUUUCCAACUAGGAACUUUUGUAAUUAUUAUGUUUAAUUUUUUUAUUAUAAAAAACACAAUAUUAUUAUACCCACCAAAUAAAAUAUUAUACUUAGGGCCGAUUUUCCAAUCGUCGAAUAACUAUUAUCUGGGGAAUAAAGAGUUUGACAGUUUGAAAUUAAAAAAGCUAUCAAUUUAGAUGCCAGCUGCAAGCCUGUUGUUUAAAUUUGUGAUGUGCACUAAAAUUUAGAGUCU